GCCUAUUUGGUGUAGUGGUUAAGGUACUGGGCUAGAAACCAGGAGACUGUGAGUUCUAGUUCCAUAAUAGGCA
rnacentral:tRNA from 1 species